rfam:Zea mays cultivar B73 chromosome 4, whole genome shotgun sequence.
AUUCUAGUAUUCACCCCAAUCCACAUGUAUUGAGGUGGAUUGGGGUGUAAAUUAAUUUACACCCCAAUCCACCUCAAUACAUGUGGAUUGGGGUGAAUACUAGA